GCGGGCCCGUUUCAUCGCCUCCCAGGUGGGCAGCCCCUUCCCGCGGCCGGCCGCCCUCCCUCAAGCGUUCCCACGCCCGGCCGGGGCAGGCAGCGCCGCGGGUGCUGGGCCUGGGAGCGCCGGGCUGGGACCGGAGCAGGAGGGACCGGUGGCGUCCGGGAUGUGCGGCCGCGCUGCAGAGUCGGCCCUGYGGGGAGAGGUCGGCACCCGGAGGUGACGGCGGAACACCGCAGGGAACCUGUUUUUGGCUUGCUUGGAUGUAGCUCUGCUCCAGUGAGCUCUGCGUGGUGUGGUCAAACCUGCCCUYGUGAAACGGGAAGAGUGCUGCCGCGCUGGCUCUGCUGGGCGGUGGGAAGGCCAGUCCAGGAACAGCCACAGAGCAAGGCCUGGAUGGAGGAUGCUGGACAAGCCACAGCGGGGUUUCCCUGCAGGCGAAGAGUGUGACUGCUGCUGUCCCAGCUCAUCCGUGSUCCUGUCCAGGUGGGAUCACCUGCAGCGCACCGCAGCCGAGCGCCGGGGAAAAUGGUGGCA
rnacentral:lncRNA from 1 species